GCUGCCGCCGAAAAGGGGUGGCGAUAAGGGGACUCGGUAGCUGCGGGAGAGUCUGUCACGACUAAUUUUCUGGAGUUUCUGCCCCUGCUCUGCGUCAGCCGUCACGUCACUUUGCCAGCAGGAGCAAGAGCAGGAGCCGAAGCCGGAGCGGCGUUGGCUGGCACUGGGCUGGAGCGGGAGGCGCCCUCGCUCGGCCGCGGGAGCCUCCGGCCGGGCUGAGCGGGACCGGGGCCGCGGGAGCCGCCGCCGCGGGAGCCGCCUGCGGCCCCCCAGGUGCAGCGAGCGCAUCGUCCCGGUCGGCUCGUCCCGCGGGUCCAGCUCCUCCGGCCGCCGCCUCCCCGUGCCCGGAGCGCCCCGACCCCGCCGCCGCCCCCCGGGCCCAGCUUGGUCCCGCCAUGCGGCGGCGGCGCCCCCCGCAGUGAGCGGGCAGGCGAUGUCCCGGCCCCUCCCGCCGCUCUGAGCAGUGCCCUCCCUCGCCGGUGCCCUCGCCCUCGCCCUCGCCCGCGCCCUCGGGGCGCCCCGUCGCGCCGGACAGGGAAACCGGGGCCGAGCCGAGCCGAGCCGAGCAGGCGGCGCCGAGGGGCCGGGGGGG